AUGGCAUGGGGAGGCCUCUUCCUGAGCCUGAGCCGCCCCACACCUGAGCAGCAGAAGUCGUGCCUCGCGGCUGCCGGCGGCUUCAACUACGACGCGGAUCUCCACGGCGCCACCCACCCGAAAUCACCAGCCGCAUUAACAACCUCUGAAGACACCGACAGGGCGCUGGCGGACCGCGGCUUCUCCGUGAACCGCUCGCGCGUCCUCGUUGGCUCCGGCGCCGACGCCUUCCGCCACGCCAAGUCGGCCCUCCUCUCCUGGAAGCACCUGGCGCUGGGGUGGGCGGAGGCGGAGCCGGGCACGCCGGUGAAGGCCGGCGCGAGGUUCUGCAUCUGCUACAGGGAGGUGGUCCCCUGGGUGAUGUUCCCGCUGCAGAUCGCCUACGUCACCGACGACAAGUACGAUGGUGGCAAGCGCGGGAAAGGCGGCGGCGUGUUCGCGUUCGGCAGCGGCACCCUGCAGGGCCAUCUGCUGGUAACUAGUGCAUCCUGUUUCCGGCGUGAUCGAGUGUGUGUGGGUUGGGGGAUCAAGUUGGAGCAGACUGAUGAUGGUUUGGGUGACAUGGUUGCGUGGAUGCAGGCCGGGGAGGAGCGGUUCUCGGUGGAGGUGGACGCGGAGGAGCGGGUGUGGUACGAGGUGGUGUCCUUCUCCAAGCCGGCGCACCCGCUGUCGGCGCUGUGCUACCCCUACGUGCGCCUCCGGCAGAGGCACUUCGCGCGGGAGUCCGGCAAGGCGGUGCUCAGGCACGUCGCCGCCGCAGCCUGCUCGCCGACUGCGACGCCAACGACGCAGUGA
rnacentral:rRNA from 1 species